UUCAGCAGUAGUCAGCUGUCCAGAGCAGUACUGUGCCUGUGAUAGUGUUACACUGCUGGGAGAUAAAGAUCAGUCAUUUCUUCUGGCUGCUGUUGUCACCGUUCUGGAGACAACUGAUGCCAAAAAGAAAUGGCAUUGUGCUUCUCUGAGAGUGCGCUAAAGGUCUGCUUUCCCUCUUUAGUGCUAGUUCGGAAGCAUACAUA
rnacentral:snoRNA from 1 species